rnacentral:rRNA from 1 species
CGUAGGGGGCAAGCGUUGUCCGGAAUUAUUGGGCGUAAAGAGCGCGUAGGCGGUCCGAUAAGUCGGCUGUGAAAGUCAGGGGCUCAACCCUUGAAAGCCGGCCGAUACUGUCGGACUAGAGUCCGGAAGAGGCAAGUGGAAUUCCCGGUGUAGCGGUGAAAUGCGCAGAUAUCGGGAGGAACACCAAUGGCGAAGGCAGCUUGCUGGGACGGUACUGACGCUGAGGCGCGAAAGCGUGGGGAGCAAACAGGAUUAGAUACCCUGGUAGUCCACGCCGUAAACGAUGGGCACUAGGUGUGGGAGGUGUCGACUCCUCCCGUGCCGCAGCUAACGCAUUAAGUGCCCCGCCUGGGGAGUACGGCCGCAAGGCUAA